UGGUUACAGAUUUUUAAAAAACAGUUAUUCAGCAUUAUGCUAAAUAGAUACAGAAUUAAUUUUUAGCCUAAGAAACUUAAUUCAAACUUCAAACUUAAUUCUGAAUUUGAUCUUCAUAUUAUUUCUAAUAUGUUAUUGCAGGGAAGAGUUAGAAUAGAAUUUUUAAAAUGCAAAGGACCUUUUUCUGUAAUGGCCUGGACUUGUAGUUUCAUUUGUGCAAAGAACUCCUGGUGUAGAAACUCAUUUCACCAAUACAAAAUUGCAACUUGUCUUUAACUUAAAUGCAGAGAAUUACCUGGGAGGUUAGGUGAUUUCCCUGUGGUCACAUAAUUAGUAUGUCAGAGGAAGGUCUGGCACAUUGGCAAGAUGUUUAUUAUGAACUUUGUCUCUUGACUUUUGUACUUAACCACUAUUCUAGUUUGCUGCUUUUAAUAUACUGUAAGUUGAAAAAUAAGAUAACCAAAGUUAUUUAAGAUAGAAUUCUUAACAAAGCUCUGAGUACAAGUACCAAGGAGUAAGAUGGCUAUUGUGUUAAGUUCUUUGUAAUGAUAAUGACUUCCCAACUCAGAAUUACCCUCUAGAUCACAAUUUCUUAAUUUUUUUUCCACGUGUGAUCCCUUUUUGUCUGAGAAAUGUAUAUGUGACUCUGGGUAUAUAGGUAUAUAAAAUAGCAAUACAAAUCAAACAUUUAUUGAUUUAAUAAUGUUUAUUUUAAAACAGUUCUUUGGUGUACAUAUAAUUUUAUCACUUAUUAAAGAUGAGAUGCACACCAAUGAGAUGGAUGUGCUUUUUUUUUUUUUUUAAAACAUAAAGAACUAAAUCUUGGUGGAAUAUUGCAGAACACAGAGAUUCAGAAAUCUUUUACUUGUUGCCAAAUAUUUUGGUCUCUACAUUCAGUUAUAUGACCCCAUAUUGGGGUUCUGGUCUACAAGAAAGGUAUCAAAUACUCAGGAUGUAGUCUGAAACAUUGAGGACUAGAAUCCCCCAAGAGGCAAUGGUUUGAUCAUAAGGUAUCAUGGCCUUACUCUAAGAAGUCUCUGAUCAACCAGAGGGUAGGAAGAUGAGUUGUAGACAAAUUAUAGUGCUUUCCUUCAACAUGAUCAUAGCUACUAUUACCUCCAAUCUGAUUUCCCCACUGUCUACUCUUCCCUCUUAUGAAAGGUUCCAAUAUCCCUACUUCUGAACUAGGGAUCAGUGUCUCAUGACAACUACACAACAAGACAUGUGGACACCUACAACAGCAGUCUCAUGGGUAUCAUUGUGAAAAUUACAUUUCUUUACCUCAGCAUACUUCUCCUCUGAUCCUCAAUUCAUAAUUUGGUUUUGAUAGUAACCUUUUGCAGAGGACAGGAUCACUAUGCUAUGACUGAUGGGGAAGCAGGAAUUUUGGGUAAGACAGAGAACAGGAUAAGUAGGCAUGAAUGGAUUGUGAUCGACUGCAGAAUUCAUUACAUUUAUCUUUUCCCUCAAAUCUACCUGUUUACCUAAGCUCCCUAUUCUAAUUUCUAAAAUUUUCUUUUUUAAUUGCGAACUUAUUACACACACACACACACACACACACACACACACACACACACAUUUCUGUAUGUAUUGUGACAAAGUAUUCUAUAUAAGGCAUUACCAUCCUUUCAGUAACCCACAUAAUUCCAGUACCUUCCAAAUUCAUUCUCCCUCACCACAUAUAUCCUCUAAGUUUCCAUUUUUUUUUUUUCUAUUUCUACAUCACUUGUAUCUAUCUGUCCAUUUCUUUCUACUUAUAUAGCUAUCACCUUAGUUCAAAUCCUUGUAACUUCUCAGUUGCAUGCCUACAAUAGCCUUUUUACAUGACCAUGGUCUCCCUGGUUCAUCUCUCCUAAAUCCUAUUCAUCUUCCACAAAAUUGCCAAAGUGAUUUUUUACUAAAUCCUAUUUGUCCAUAACACAUCCUGCUCAAUAAAUUCCACUGAUCCCUUAUCACCUCCAGGAUCAAAUACAAAUGGCUUUUUGGCAUGCCAUUAACCCUUUCAUAAUGUAGCCCCUCCUACUUUUUCCAGUCUUCUUGUACUUUACUCUUCAUACUGUACUCUUUGAUCCAGGGACACUGCCCUCCUAGCUGUUCCAUGAAUAAGACACUCCAUCUUUCAGCUCCAGGUAUUUUCUCUGGCUCUCUCCGAUGGCUGAAAUACUUUCUUUCCUCAUCUCUAUUAUCUAAUUUGUCUGGCGGCUUCCUUUAGGUCCAAAUAAAAUUCCACCUUCUACAGGAACUCUUUUCCAAGCCAUCUUAAUUCUAGAACUGAUUCUGUUAAAUACUUUCUAUUUAUCCUAAAUGUAGCCUAUUUGUACUUAUGCCUCUUUCUGUAUACCCAGUGCUUUGCACAGUGCCUAGAACAUAGUUUGCAUUUAAUAACUAUAGCACCCAGAACUAAUCUCAAUAUUUUAGAUAUUGUCUCACCAGGAUAGACUAUAGAAGAAAUAUUCCUCCCUUAUUCCUGGAAGUUGAUUCUCUUAGUGUAGUCCCAAAACUACAUUUCUGGACCACGACAUUAUAGUGCUGAUUCAUUUUGAGCUUGCAGUCCAUCAAAACUCUUAAGACUUUUUUCAGACAUAAUGAUGAUAAACCACGCCUCUUCUAUUUUGAACUUGAGAAGCUGAUUUUUUUUUAACUCUAGUAGAAGACAUGUUUAUAAAUCCUCAACUGUCAUCUUAUUUGAUUCAGUCUAUCAAGAUUUGUUUGGAUCCUGUAAAGCAAAGUAUUUACUCUUUUCAACCCCCACUUUUGUAUAAUCCAUCAAUUUAAAGCAUUUUAAAAAUACUUACUAUAUUUUAUCAACUAUGCUAGGUACUAGGGAUACAAAAGAAAAAAAAGGAAAUAAUCCCUGCUAUCAAAGAGUUUAUAUUUGAUUCCCUAAAACUUUUAAGUGCCUUCAUCCUCCACAAAAGAAUUAGCUUGUAUCUGUUUAUACAUGUUUCUGUGUACUGAUGCUUCCUUCUCACCCAUUCCCAUACCACUCUAUAACAUAAUUUCUUUGGUAAUGGGGCCUCCUAUCUCUUCCCCCCAUGUAUCUCUAGUGCCUAGCACAAUGCCUGACUCAUAGAAGGUGUUUAAUAGCCAAAUAAAAAAGAUUAGAUUUGAUCCUAGAGGAAAAGGGAAAUUACUGCAAUUUAAUAAGCAGGGAGAAGGAGCAUGGCCAGAUGAAAUGAAGAGGAGAGGCUAUGGGAAAACAAUUAGGGGACUACUCUUAAGAAUUCAAAAAAAAGGUAAUGAGAUUGGUGGUUGUAUGAGCACAGAGAUACUGCAUAAGCAGAACGAGCUAGAUUUAGCAACUGAUUUGAUAAGUAGGAUGAAGAAUCAAGAAUGACUGCAGUUGUGGACCUGAAUGACAACUCUCUGACAGAAAUAGGAAGACUCAAAAGGCACAUUUAGAGGAAAACAGGUGUUCUAUUUUGGAUACACUGAGAUGUCCAACAGGCAACUGGUUGAGCUCAGGAAAAGAGAAUGUGUCAGGCUUCAUCUGCAUAAAGAUGAUAAUUAAACGCAGGAUAAGAUCACCAGGAGAGACAAAAUGCAGGAUGAGAAAAGAAGGUGGCCUACACAGAUAUUUCGGGUACAAUUAUGAUUAAGGGAAAUGAUAUGGAUUAUGAUUCUACAAAGGAGACUGAGAAGUGAUCAGACAGGUAGGAGAACUGACAGAAAGCAGGGUCAUGUAAACUCAGAGUGAAGAGAGUAGUCAAAGGUAUUAAAUGUUGCAAAGAGGUUCAGAAUAAGGAGGACUGAAAAAGGGCUAUCAGAUUUGGCAAUUAAGAGAUCAUUGUAACUUUAGAGAGCAGUUUCCAUUGAAUAAUGAAGUUGGAAACCACACUGUAAGGGACUGAGAAGAGAAGUGGAGGAGAGAACAAACAAGGUUUUGCUAGGAUUCUGGCUAUGAAAUCAAGGGGAUAUCUAAAAGGGUAGGGAGAGGGUUUUUUUUUUUGUUUUGUUUUGUUUUGUUUUGUUUUUAUGUUUUAAGUCAUAUAAAUAGGGGUCAUCUCAUACUGACUU